CCGCCACCGAGGGUGCCGCGAAUUUCUUGACUAGACCACGGCGGUGGCGUUGACUUGGUCACGUUCAAAGAGGGUCGUUCGGUGCCGUUGCUGUGGAAAAUGGAAAAACACGGUUAGGCGGUGUUGAGCAAAAUAUCCAAAGUACGUCGAAAUCACAUCAUGACGUGUUUAUUUUGCUUUACUAUAUCAUUCAGUCAAACGAGUCAGUAAAAUUAAAAUGGGUAUCCAACAAUACUGGUUUGUUGACAUUUUCAGUUGCAGAGUUUAGUAGUUUUAUUAAUUAUUCAUAAGCCGUUGUUAAAUAAAAAAAAAAAAA